UACGAAGGGGGCUAGCGUUGCUCGGAAUCACUGGGUGUAAAGCGCACGUAGGCGGAUUGCUAAGUCAGGGGUGAAAUCCUGGAGCUCAACUCCAGAACUGCCUUUGAUACUGGCGAUCUUGAGUCCGGGAGAGGUGAGUGGAACUGCGAGUGUAGAGGUGAAAUUCGUAGAUAUUCGCAAGAACACCAGUGGCGAAGGCGGCUCACUGGCCCGGUACUGACGCUGAGGUGCGAAAGCGUGGGGAGCAAACAGG
rnacentral:rRNA from 1 species